rnacentral:lncRNA from 1 species
CCAACGGUCAAGUUGCCGACAUCGCGCUCUCCGAGGAGGCAUUUUUUACGUUAUUUUUGAUGGUUGAAGAGAACGAAUGCUUGUGGAAAAUCGACCAUGAGGGGUAUAAGAACGUCCACAACAAAGACCGUAUUUGGAAGGAAAUAUGCAGACGGCUGCAGGAAAGGUUUCCGAACCUGAAUGCCCUGAAACCAGAUGAAAUAAAAAGACAGUUCAACAACAAAAGACGUCAGUACCAGGACGAAAAAAAAAAAGAAGACCUUCGUCAGAAGUGGUCAAGCUGCUCCCACCUACGUUGGAAAAUGGAAGUUUUUUAGCGCGCUCUCUUUUCUUGAGCAAAAGUGUCCGCCACCACCCCAAGGACACGUACUGGGAGUAGAAGAGGAGCUUCGUGAGGAAGACCUGGCGUUUUCUGUGGUUGACGGGGAGGCUCCAGUCGACAGUCCGUCUGAGCCGGACAACUUGGAGGACGACCCGCAGCCAGAGCCACAGCGCGAGCCACAGCUGCCGAAAAAGAAAAAGCCGAAGAAGGGCAGCGACGACAGCUGUGAGGGCAGGCUGGCCGCCCUCAACAACAUUGCUGCCGCCUUGACAGUACCCACGGAGGAUGACGAGUGCGCCAUUUUCGGCAGACUCAUCGCUAGCCGCCUCAGGCGUCAGCCAGCUGAAAGACAAAGCUGGUUUCAAGUUUUGAUGCUUGAGUACGCUACCACUCUGGAGAACACAGAGAUGCCACCCAAGUAAAUGCUGUUGUUAAUGUAAAAAAAUAUUUCAUUGUAUAAAAUUUGUU